rnacentral:rRNA from 1 species
UGGGGAAUUUUGGACAAUGGGCGAAAGCCUGAUCCAGCAAUGCCGCGUGUGUGAAGAAGGCCUUCGGGUUGUAAAGCACUUUUGUCCGGAAAGAAAUCCUUGGCUCUAAUACAGUCGGGGGAUGACGGUACCGGAAGAAUAAGCACCGGCUAACUACGUGCCAGCAGCCGCGGUAAUACGUAGGGUGCAAGCGUUAAUCGGAAUUACUGGGCGUAAAGCGUGCGCAGGCGGUUUGCUAAGACCGAUGUGAAAUCCCCGGGCUCAACCUGGGAACUGCAUUGGUGACUGGCAGGCUAGAGUAUGGCAGAGGGGGUAGAAUUCCACGUGUAGCAGUGAAAUGCGUAGAGAUGUGGAGGAAUACCGAUGGCGAAGGCAGCCCCCUGGGCCAAUACUGACGCUCAUGCACGAAAGCGUGGGGAGCAAACAGGAUUAGAUACCCUGGUAGUCCACGCCCUAAACGAUGUCAACUAGUUGUUGGGGAUUCAUUUCCUUAGUAACGUAGCUAACGCGUGAAGUUGACCGCCUGGGGAGUACGGUCGCAAGAUUAAAACUCAAAGGAAUUGACGGGGUCAUAGCUGUUUCC